rnacentral:rRNA from 1 species
CAAUAGCGUAUAUUAAAGUUGUUGCAGUUAAAAAGCCCGUAGUUGAAUUUCUGGCGGGCGCGCCGGUCUUCCAAGUGUUGUACUGGGCGCAGUCCGCCAUCCUUGUGGAGAGGGCUCGCAUUGAGUUGCGUGUCGGAUCUGCAUCAUUUACUGUGAAAAAAUUAGAGUGUUUAAAGCAGGCUAUCGCUUGAAUACAUUAGCAUGGAAUAAUAAGAUAGGACUUCGGUCUAUUUUGUUGGUUGCGAACCGAGGUAAUGAUUAAUAGGGAUAGUUGGGGGUAUUCAUAUUUAAUUGUCAGAGGUGAAAUUCUUGGAUUUAUGAAAGAUGAACAACUGCGAAANCANNNACCAAGGAUGUUUUCAUNAA